rnacentral:rRNA from 1 species
GACGAACGCUGGCGGCGUGCUUAACACAUGCCAGUCGAACGGGAUUUAGUAGACAGAAGCCUCGGCUAAAGAUUACUAAUGAGAGUGGCGAACGGGUGAGUAACGCGUGAGCAACCUGCCUAUGACAGCGGGAUAGCCUCGGGAAACCGGGAUUAAUGCCGCAUAAAAUCGUAGAAACACAUGUUUUAACGGUCAAAGAUUUAUCGGUCAUAGAUGGGCUCGCGUCUGAUUAGCUAGUUGGUGAGAUAACAGCCCACCAAGGCGACGAUCAGUAGCCGGUCUGAGAGGAUGAACGGCCACAUUGGAACUGAGACACGGUCCAAACUCCUACGGGAGGCAGCAGUGGGGAAUAUUGCACAAUGGGGGAAACCCUGAUGCAGCGACGCCGCGUGAACGAAGAAGGUAUUCGUAUCGUAAAGUUCUGUCCUAUGGGAAGAUAAUGACAGUACCAUAGAAGAAAGCUCCGGCUAAAUACGUG